rnacentral:rRNA from 1 species
AGUGAACGCUGGCGGUAGGCCUAACACAUGCAAGUCGAACGGCAGCACAGUAAGAGCUUGCUCUUACGGGUGGCGAGUGGCGGACGGGUGAGGAAUACAUCGGACUCUACUUUUUCGUGGGGGAUAACGUAGGGAAACUUACGCUAAUACCGCAUACGACCUACGGGUGAAAGCAGGGGAUCUUCGGACCUUGCGCGAUUGAAUGAGCCGAUGUCGGAUUAGCUAGUUGGCGGGGUAAAGGCCCACCAAGGCGACGAUCCGUAGCUGGUCUGAGAGGAUGAUCAGCCACACUGGAACUGAGACACGGUCCAGACUCCUACGGGAGGCAGCAGUGGGGAAUAUUGGAAAAUGGGCGCAAGCCUGAUCCAGCCAUACAGCGUGGGUGAAGAAGGCCUUCGGGUUGUAAAGCCCUUUUGUUGGGAAAGAAAAGCAGCAGGUUAAUACCCCGCUGUGCUGACGGUACCCAAAGAAUAAGCACCGGCUAACUUCGUG